GGAUGUGAGAGCUCUCUGGCUGCAACAUCUGUCACCCCAUUGAUUGCCAGGGUUGAUUUAGCUGAUGUGGCUGGCUAGGUGGGUGUCCUCCUCCUCCCUCACCACUCCAUGUGCAUCCCUCUCAAAGCUGUACACUGGGUCGAAGAGGACGACCUUCCCCAAUAGAGGAGCACCAUUCUUGGGUCAAGGGUAUGCGGGUAGCUGCGAUCCCCUGCUAGAACCUCCCAGUAAGCUCUCCAGGUCCGUUUGUAGGAGAAUGUAGGGUAGUCAAGUUUCUGAGACUCCAGACACAUCCAAAUGAGGCGCUGCACAUGGAAGUCUGUCUUU
ensembl:misc_RNA 7SK 7SK RNA